rnacentral:rRNA from 1 species
UGUUCCUACGGGAGGCAGCAGUGAGGAAUAUUGGUCAAUGGCCGGAAGGCUGAACCAGCCAAGCCGCGUGAAGGACGAAGGUGCCAAGCAUUGUAAACUUUUUUUGUCAAGGGACAAAAUCAGGCUCGAGAGCCUGACCGAGGGUACUUGAAGAAAAAGCAUCGGCUAACUCCGUGCCAGCAGCGGCGGUAAUACGGAGGAUGCGAGCGUUAUCCGGAUUUAUUGGGUUUAAAGGGUGCGGAGGCGGACUGUUAAGUCAGCGGUAA